AUACGUAGGGGGCGAGCGUUGUGCGGAAUUAUUGGGCGUAAAGGGCGUGUAGACGGUCAUAUAAGUUACAGGUGAAAGCCCAUUUUUCAAGGAUGGAACUGCCUGUAAGACUGUAAGACUUGAGUGCAGGAGAGGGAAGCGGAAUUCCAAGUGUAGCGGUGAAAUGCGUAGAUAUUUGGAGGAACACCAGUGGCGAAGGCGGCUUUCUGGACGGCAACUGACGUUGAGGCGCGAAAGCGUGGGGAGCGAACAGGAUUAGAUACCCUGGUAGUCCACGCUGUAAACGAUGGAUGCUAGGGGUGGGGGGUAUCGACCCCCUCCGUGCCGGAGUUAACGCAAUAAGCAUCCCGCCUGGGGAGUACGGCCGCAAGGUUGAAACUCAAAGGAAUUGACGGGG
rnacentral:rRNA from 1 species